rnacentral:lncRNA from 1 species
AGCUAGCACCUGGCAGGGCACACUUCUGGCCCGCUUUGCCCUGGCCAGGUUCCCUUCCCAUUUGUAGUCACCCAAAAGUCAUAAAGGUCACAUCUCAAUGCCACUCAAAGCGGCUGCUGGCAGGCUUGGUGGUCUAGAGCCAGCCCAGUGAGCUUGGUUGGAGGCGGGAAUCUGCAGGGAGAUGCCUGCUAUUUCACAAACUGGGGAAAGAGGAGAAAUUGGGCACUUGGCCACUAUCCUGCCAGUUGGGUCAACAGCCAAAAAUAGCUCUUAUUUCCUCCUCUAGGCUCCAAGCCGAAAUAAGUGAGAGAGAGCCAUGGCUUUUGGUUUUAAUUUUGCUCCCCAUAAAUGUUUAUAAAAUGCCUACUAUGUGCUGAAAACAUGCACUUUCAUGGCUUCAUCCUAGGUCACACUUUGUGCAUAUGCAGGAUAAGAGGGGGGUGGGGGAGGGAUAGUAUCAUUUCUCUUGUUCGGUUUGAUCUCUGUCCAAAGCCACGUUUUCUCCAGCUCUGAGCUGAGUCGGAGCUUUCUAAACACCCUUUCCCGGGCUUUCAAAAAAACUGUUCUCCCAGGAUUGCCUGGUCUGCAGGGCUCCUGCAGCUUUAAACAUCUGGCCUCAAUUCUGCUCAUGCAAACAUUUCUGCACGUCUCACAAAUGCUAUCUUUCCAAGUUUCUCCUCUGCUUCGGCAGGAGCAGGGUUUUCGUUCUCAAAAGUGCCCCCCCCCCCUUUUCUGUCACUGUUGAUUUCGUCUGGUACAGGGGUAUAUCUAACAGAGGUAUGAAGUUGGGUGAAAGGGGGGGCAUGGGACCUUUGAAAUCUGAUUGUUCCGUAAUUUUUGAAAAUCUAGCCAUGGAGGGUUUAGUGCACGGAAAUUGAAUUUAAAGGGAUGUAUUGGUUUGCAAAACAAAUUAAGCUAGUUAUUCAAUAGCUCAGCCAUAUAGCUAUUGUCUUUAUGAAUUCUGCACCUUCUGUUACUUCUCAAUUUUCUUUUUUAAGGUCACUGGGCUGACCUAUCCAAAAACAGAAACACACACACAUACACACACAAAACCAAAUAAACAGAAAUCUCCCAUGUUGUCAUUCAUGUAAAACUCCCGUUGGCCAUCCUCCAAACCUUGCAGCAGGAUGCUUUUGGGUCUGCAGUUUCUCAGAAUUAGACAUCUCCUUGUUAGCAUGACACUUAAAUUCGAUCAUGCAACCCCUCUGAUUAAAGCCUCUCACUGUUUAUUUACUGUCGGCAAUAUUAAAUCCAAACCUUUUAUAUAAACAUGUCUGACAUGUAAACUUACC